UGCGACGAAGGAUGCCUCUCC
rnacentral:misc_RNA from 1 species